rnacentral:rRNA from 1 species
UUCCGGUUGAUCCUGCCGGACCCCACUGCUAUCGGGAUAGGACUAAGACAUGCUAGUCGUGUGCCUCAGCCAAAACGAGGCACGGCGCACAGCUCAGUAACACGUGGCUAACCUGCCCUUAGGACGAGAAUAACCCCGGGAAACUGGGGCUAAUGCUCGAUAGGUGAAGAACUCUGGAAUGAGUCUUCACUUAAAAGAGUCUACGUUAUGCUCGUAGAUUUCGCUUAAGGAUGGGGCCGCGACCGAUCAGGUUGUUGGUGAGGUAAUGGCUCACCAAGCCUUUUACCGGUGCGGGCCGUGAGAGCGGGAGCCCGGAGAUGGGCACUGAGACAAGGGCCCAGGCCCUACGGGGCGCAGCAGUCGCGAAAACUUUGCAAUACACGAAAGUGUGACAGGGCUAUCCCGAGUGCCAUCCGCUGAGGAAGGCUUUUACCCAGUCUAGAAAGCUGGGAGAAUAAGGAGAGGGCAAGUCUGGUGUCAGCCGCCGCGGUAAUACCAGCUCUCCGAGUGGUGUGGAUGUUUAUUGGGCCUAAAGCAUCCGUAGCUGGCUAAGUUAGUCCCCUGUUAAAUCCAACGAAUUAAUCGUUGGAUCGCGGGGGAUACUGCUUGGCUAGGGGACGAGAGAGGCAGACGGUAUUUCCGGGGUAGGGGUGAAAUCCUAUAAUCCCGGGAAGACCACCAGUGGCGAAGGCUGUCUGCUAGAACGCGCCCGACGGUGAGGGAUGANAGCUGGGGGAGCGAACCGGAUUAGAUACCCGGGUAGUCCCAGCUGUAAACGAUGCANGCUAGGUGUUUGGACGGCCACGUGCCCGUUCUAGUGCCGCAAGGAAANCUGUUAAGCC